rnacentral:rRNA from 1 species
UACGGGGGGAGCAAGCGUUGUUCGGAUUUACUGGGCGUAAAGGGCGCGUAGGCGGUCAGCACAAGUCAGUUGUGAAAUCUCCGGGCUUAACUCGGAAAGGUCAACUGAUACCGUGCGACUAGAGUGCGGAAGGGGCAACUGGAAUUCUCGGUGUAGCGGUGAAAUGCGUAGAUAUCGAGAGGAACACCUGCGGCGAAGGCGGGUUGCUGGGCCGACACUGACGCUGAUGCGCGAAAGCCAGGGGAGCGAACGGG